GUCCUAGCUGUAAACGUUAAUCACUCGAUGCAGGAGGUAUGGACUUUCUGUGUCUAAGCUAACGCGUUAAGUGAUUCGCCUGGGGAGUACGCCGGCAACGGUGAAACUCAAAGAAAUUGACGGGGGCCCGCACAAGCGGAGGAGCAUGUGGCUCAAUUCGAUGGUACGCGAGGAACCUUACCAGGGUUUGACAUGCCGGUGGUAGAAGCCUGAAAGGUACGACCCGUAGCAAUACGGGAACCGCACAGGUGCUGCAUGGCUGUCGU
rnacentral:rRNA from 1 species